rnacentral:rRNA from 1 species
UUUUAUUUCUUUCUCGAACAAGCCCAAUCCCUUCUGAUCUCGGAAGCUAAGCAGGGUCGGGCCUGGUUAGUACUUGGAUGAGAGGCCACCUAGAAAGACUAGGUGCUAUAGGCA